GACGAACGCUGGCGGCAUGCCUAACACAUGCAAGUCGAACGGAGUUUAAUUGACAGAAGCCUUCGGGCAGAAGACGAUUAAACUUAGUGGCGGACGGGUGAGUAACGCGUGGAUAACCUGCCUUAUAGAGGGGGACAACAGUUGGAAACGACUGCUAAUACCGCAUAAGGUCUCGAGACCGCAUGAUCUUGAGAAGAAAGAUGGCCUCUGAAAAUGCUAUCGCUAUAAGAUGGAUCCGCGUCUGAUUAGCUGGUUGGUGAGGUAACGGCUCACCAAGGCAACGAUCAGUAGCCGGCCUGAGAGGGUGAACGGCCACAUUGGGACUGAGACACGGGCCCAAACGUCCUACGGGAGGCAGCAGUGGGAAUCUUCCGCAAUGGGCGAAAGCCUGACGGAGCAAUGCCGCGUGAAUGAAGAAGGCCUUCGGGUCGUAAAAAUUCUGUCCUUAUUGAAGAGAGGUUCGAUGUGUAAACAAUGCAUGAAUAGGACGUA
rnacentral:rRNA from 1 species